CUAUUGUUGUUUAAAGUAGGUAUCUGAAAAGUAUAGUCCGUAUAAAAUAACUUCUCACGCGCCAUUUUAACUCUAUGGGUCAACUGUCCUGUCAAAAGCACGGUUCAC